AUUGUUCUGAGGGUUUCUUGGCCACUCUUUCUGCACCCUGGAUGAAGCUGUUCUCGCAUGUACUCGUAUGUCCAAAAGUAGAAGCCGUGAGAAGGCGCAUCUCGAAGGGCGGUGAUGGCGGAUUUUUAUUAGUUCUACCGGAGUGAGCACGAAGCUCUGUAAGGCACCAGUUCCAACUCCUCCUAGAGCAACACCUUUGUAGGAUGGUGGAUCGGUGGCAGAUACAGACGAGUCAAAUGCUCGUGAAAGAAUGGCGUAUAUCUGGAAAACCAUAGCAUUCUGCAAUGCACAAAUCACUCUGUCAGCUGUACCCUUAUCCAGCUCAGGAACAAUAGGAAAAGAAAAAAGAUGGGAAACAUCAACUUGAGCUUUAAUGGUGCGUUUGAGCAGUCAAAUUCUAACAUACAGUUAAAGCCCCGAUUUCGAAUUACUUCACAAAUAAUUGAUGUUUUCGAUGUUGUCAUGCAAAUUUUUUACAUAGACUAUGAUUUGGGAGUUCCUUUCCCUUCUCUUCUGGUUUAUAUAUUAGACUGUUCCUUAAUGAAAAAAACUUGCAGAGAGAUUAA